GACGAACGCUGGCGGCGUGCUUAACACAUGCAAGUCGAACGGAAAGGCCCUGCUUGCAGGGUGCUCGAGUGGCGAACGGGUGAGUAACACGUGGGUGAUCUGCCCCUUACUUUGGGAUAAGCCUGGGAAACUGGGUCUAAUACUGGAUAGGACCAUGCUGUAGGUGGUGUGGUGGAAAGAUUAGUUUCGGUAAGGGAUGAGCUCGCGGCCUAUCAGCUUGUUGGUGGGGGAAUGGCCUACCAAGGCGUCGACGGGUAGCCGGCCUGAGAGGGUGGACGGCCACAUUGGGACUGAGAUACGGCCCAGACUCCUACGGGAGGCAGCAGUGGGGAAUAGUGCACAAUGGGCGCAAGCCUGAUGCAGCGACGCCGCGUGGGGGAUGACGGCCUUCGGGUUGUAAACUCCUUUCAGCCAUGACGAAGCCCUUGUGGUGACGGUAGUGGUAGAAGAAGCACCGGCUAACUACGUG
rnacentral:rRNA from 1 species